GUCCACGCCGUAAACGAUGGGCACUAGGUGCUCGGGGAGCGACCCCUCGGGUGCCGGCGCUAACGCAUUAAGUGCCCCGCCUGGGGAGUACGGCCGCAAGGCUGAAACUCAAAGGAAUUGACGGGGCCCGCACAAGCGGUGGAGCAUGUGGUUUAAUUCGACGCAACGCGAAGAACCUUACCUAGGCUUGACAUGUACGCGAAGAUCGUGAGAGAUCGCGGUCGCCCUUCGGGGCGCGUGCACAGGUGCUGCAUGGCUGUCGU
rnacentral:rRNA from 1 species